GACGAACCGAGCGAACGUUGUUCGGAAUAACUGGGCUUAAAGGGCGCGUAGGCGGGCUGCCGCGUCCGGGGUGAAAGCCUCCCGCUCAACGGGAGAACGGCCUCGGAUACGGGCGGCCUCGAGGGGGGUAGGGGCACCUGGAACUGUGGGAGGAGCGGUGAAAUGCGUUGAUAUCCACAGGAACUCCGGUGGCGAAGGCGAGGUGCUGGACCCCUCCUGACGCUGAGGCGCGAAAGCCAGGGGAGCGAACGGG
rnacentral:rRNA from 1 species